UACCUGCAGCUCGAGUGGUAACCGCUAUUAUUGGGCCUAAAGCGUCCGUAGCCGGUUUGGUAAAAAUCUGGGUAAAUCGUGAGGCUUAACUUCACGAAUUUCGGAUAGACUGCCAGACUUGGGAUCGGGGGAGGUCAGAGGUACUCCAGGGGUAGCGGUGAAAUGUUGUAAUCCUUGGAGGACCACCGGUAGCGAAGGCGUCUGACUAGAACGAGUCCGACGGUGAGGGACGAAGCCCUGGGGCGCAAACCGGAUUAGAUACCCGGGUAGUCCAGGGUGUAAACUAUGUGGGCUUUGUAUUGGAGGUCCCACGUGGGCGUCCAGUGCAGAAGAGAAGUUGUUAAGCCCACCGCCUGGGAAGUACGGUCGCAAGGCUGAAACUUAAAGGAAUUGGCGGGGAGCACAGCAACGGGAGGAGCGUGCGGUUU
rnacentral:rRNA from 1 species